UAAGACGAACCUUGCUAACGUUAUUCGGAAUUACUGGGCUUAAAGGGUGCGUAGGCGGUGCGGAAAGUCGGGUGUGAAAUCCCCCAGCUCAACUGGGGAAUUGCGCCUGAAACUACCGUGCUCGAGGAAGACAGAGGUACGCGGAACUUAGGGUGGAGCGGUGAAAUGCGUUGAUAUCCUAAGGAACACCGGUGGCGAAAGCGGCGUACUGGGUCUUAUCUGACGCUGAGGCACGAAAGCUAGGGUAGCGAACGGGAUUAGAUACCCCGGUAGUCCUAGCCGUAAACGCUGAGCACUUGAUUGAAGGCUCCUCCAUAAGCUUUUAGUCGUAGCGAAAGUGUUAAGUGCUCCGCCUGGGGAGUAUGGUCGCAAGGCUG
rnacentral:rRNA from 1 species